GGCUCAGUGGUACAGCGUGUGCUUAGCGUGCACAUGGUCCUGGGUUCAAUCCCCAG
rnacentral:tRNA from 1 species